AGGUGUAACUUUCUCUAAAUUUUCUAUUUCUGUUUAUUAAAAUAAAUUAUAUGCAAAGAAAACUCUCAUUUUCUCUGUUUUUUUUCUUGAAUAAAAUCAAUUUAUCAUCACCAAAAAAACGCAGGUUUUUUUUUUCUUUGGUCUUCUCGGCUUUGAUCCUGGGAUUUGAAAUUCUCCAGACAAAAAGGAAAAAAAAAAAAAAAGGAAAAGAAAAGAAAGAGAAGGUAUGGAUCAGAAGUUUGGCUCGGUUAACGAUUAGAGUUGCUUUGCCUUGGUAUUCUUGAAGAAUGCUCCUAAGGUGCUUAUGAGAUAUGACAGUUCUUGUGGGCAUCUAGCCUUUU